GUGGACCCUGGGCCACCAAAAGGUAGCACAAGUAAGGCACCUGGGCCUGGGAGCUAUGGCGCAGCCUCGGACUUUCUUAAACGCCAAAGGGACUGGGAACCAAGGCCCCUCCCUGGGCUGCGCCCGAAAACCGGCAGGGAAGAGGGACCGUCAGGAACACAGAAUUCCUCUGGAGGUGCCAGCAGAGAUCAGCACGGACAACUGGCAAAUUGUGACAAGUUUGGCCCUCUAGUCCUCUCUUGCUUUAAGAGGAAGAGCCCUGCUGAAGGAAGUACACCACUGGGCUUUCAGGGUUUAUAGCCUUGCCCCACUUCUGUUCGGAUUUCUGUGCGAAUGAAAAUGUGAUCAGCUAACUUCCCACUCCUGUUCACUAUGCUUGUCCUAACCAUUGUCAUUCCUUCCCUGCCAUAAUGGACUCUAAUCCCCCUGGAACUAUGAGCCAAAAUAAACCCUUUCUUCCCUAAA